AACAGUCGAAAAAACUUCCGAAAAACGGAAUGCAGAACCUCUCUAGCUCAUGUCAUUUAAACUAACUUCUUCGUGCGAUAGCGGUGGUACCAUUUAUCCACUCUAACUUUUUGGCGAUGGCUUGCGAAUAGAGACAGCCAAAAGCACGAUUUCUGCUCGCUAGCUGUGCUCCGCAUUUCAUUAGAACUUUGUUGAAAAGCAACACACAAGAAGGUCUGAACAGUGCCGGUUGCAGCUUCAGCCUUCCCUCCCUGGCUUUCGGCUUGCUGCAGCGACAGAGACUGCGGCGCCGUGUUCACGUUGAUUGACCAGUGAGCGCUGCACACAAGCUAGCUACAGAGAUGGCGGGGAUCAACGAGGAGAGUUUCCUUGGACUACACAUGGGCUGUCCAGCUUUAAAUUGUGACAACAGAUCCAACAAAGACGUGGUCCGCAACCGUUGGGCCAGCAAAGAAUGCAAUGGGAUGAUGUGGAUUAGUCAGAAAGGCAACUUGCGCUGCGUGCACCAUCACGCAACGCGUCCCUGUGUCUACGGCCCAGUGAAUAGCUUCAAAUUCGACUGUGGCCUGCGCGGCCAGGGUUCGCCUCAUAGCCUCCAGGAGCCCUUCGUUGCGACUGAUCCACAAAGUAUUUGUCACGCAGUAGCUGUUGCGCUUGCAAUGGGUUACUUUGGUUCUGGGGUGAUGCCGUGGAGCACGGAACUGAUGGGUAAUCUGGUUGAACAAUUUCCUGAUGAGCCGUCUGCAUCUGUACGGCAAAACGUACGUCGUAUGACACUGGUACCUGUUGCCGAUUAAUAGUCUAUCACAUGUUCCAUUCCACAUGUACAUGUAGUAUAGUACGAAGAGAUAGUGCCGUCCGGUCUGUCUUGCUUCGUGAUCGAGUAACUUCCCCUCUUUUGCUUAUCUCUGAUAACAUGAGCCUCCCAAGUUGGGUGGUCGUUGUUUCACGUUUCCGAAGUGAGCUGUGGCCGUCCUGUGCCGUGGUCCUUCGUCCUUCAUCACCAUCUUGUCAUAGCUAACAUUCUUAGUUCGCUGUGAUAUUUAGCUUGUUUUCGUCUAGAGUGCACUCACCUUCCCCUUUCUUACGUUACUUCAUAACUUAGAACCUUUCAAGUUGGAAGGCUGCUAGUUUGCGCAUUCUAGACGCGAUGCAGCUAAGCAUCAUGUUGUUGAAUGUCAUAAUCUCAUCAGUCAGUUUUGUGCGAAUUGUUGCACAUUUUUGACUCAACAGUAUUCUGCUUAUAACUGUUAGUGUUGGAGAAAAAGGAUAACUUGUUCCCGUAGCUAUGCAGAAGACGUUACUUCAGUAACGACUGGCGCUAGCCAGGGUCCACACAGCUUUAA